CGCCACCGACCAGGGCGUUAGCCAUAAUCUAGUUAUCCUAGCCUGACACCCAGCAUCACGUUUGUUCACACGUAAGAAGAAGGAAUAGACACAGAGGAAAUGCCAAGGAUCAGGUAACUCGUGCUGACUGUUACCAGCAGACCAAUCAAGAUCUUCACGUGCCCAUUAGGACAAGUUCAGCCCAGCACACAUUACAGCUGCAAAUUCUGAAAUUCGAAGUGCACCAAAAAAGGCCACUAUAAAUACAGUGCUAAAAAGUGAAGACUCUUAAGAAGAUGAACACAAACAAGAUAAAUGGAAACCUAGUGGAGACAUUACACAAGGUAACUCGUGCUGACUGUUACCAGCAGACCAAUCAAGAUCUUCACGUGCCCAUGAGGACAAGUUCAGCCCAGCAUGAGCCAUUUGCAGUUUCAC